rnacentral:rRNA from 1 species
GGGCCUGCGGAGGGAUCAUUACCGAGUUUACAACUCCCAAACCCCUGUGAACAUACCUAUACGUUGCCUCGGCGGAUCAGCCCGCGCCCCGUAAAACGGGACGGCCCGCCCGAGGACCCCUAAACUCUGUUUUUAGUGGAACUUCUGAGUAAAACAAACAAAUAAAUCAAAACUUUCAACAACGGAUCUCUUGGUUCUGGCAUCGAUGAAGAACGCAGCAAAAUGCGAUAAGUAAUGUGAAUUGCAGAAUUCAGUGAAUCAUCGAAUCUUUGAACGCACAUUGCGCCCGCCAGUAUUCUGGCGGGCAUGCCUGUUCGAGCGUCAUUUCAACCCUCAAGCUCAGCUUGGUGUUGGGACUCGCGGUAACCCGCGUUCCCCAAAUCGAUUGGCGGUCACGUCGAGCUUCCAUAGCGUAGUAAUCAUACACCUCGUUACUGGUAAUCGUCGCGGCCACGCCGUAAAACCCCAACUUCUGAAUGUUGACCUCGGAUCAGGUAGGAAUACCCGCUGAACUUAAGCAUAUCAAAG